rnacentral:rRNA from 1 species
AGCACUUUAAGCAGGGAGGAGAGGCUAAUGGUUAAUACCCAUUAGAUUAGACGUUACCUGCAGAAUAAGCACCGGCUAACUCUGUACCAGCAGCCGCGGUAAUACAGAGGGUGCGAGCGUUAAUCGGAAUUACUGGGCGUAAAGCGAGUGUAGGUGGCUCAUUAAGUCACAUGUGAAAUCCCCGGGCUUAACCUGGGAACUGCAUGUGAUACUGGUGGUGCUAGAAUAUGUGAGAGGGAAGUAGAAUUCCAGGUGUAGCGGUGAAAUGCGUAGAGAUCUGGAGGAAUACCGAUGGCGAAGGCAGCUUCCUGGCAUAAUAUUGACACUGAGAUUCGAAAGCGUGGGUAGCAAACAGGAUUAGAUACCCUGGUAGUCCACGCCGUAAACGAUGUCUACUAGCCGUUGGGGUCCUUGAGACUUUAGUGGCGCAGUUAACGCGAUAAGUCGACCGCUAGGGGAUACGGCGACAAGGUUAAACUCAAUGAACUUGACGGGGCCGCGUCGACGCGGCGGUCAAGUUGGUGACUAUAUAAGUAC